GAUGCUGCCUGCUCUAUGAUGCUCUGUAAGUGCACAGGACUGACUGGAAAAUUCACAUAUAUGAGCACAUAUGGGGAGAGAUGAGAGGGACUCUCUGGCUUAAUAGGAAGAAUGCAAGACUCAGGUGCCUGCGGGAGGCUGUCUGCCAAGAAGGUCAAUAAAAGCCCCUGCAGAUUCAGACGAUUCCCUGGUUGGAGAUAAUUCACCUGCAGAAAACUGACAUCAACAGGGUCCAAUCAUGCCACUCACCAGCUCUAGGUCUUCCAUCUUCCUCAUGGCAGAAUUGAGAAGUCAUGUGAAACUGACAGUGAGACUCCUGGGGACAGAUGUAAAAUGCAAUUCCAUCUUUUUUUACUGUUUUCAGUCUGUCUAAAUAUUUUCCCAACCCUUUUUCUAUAUCUACCAGAUUGCAAUGUUUACUUGUAAUUAAAAUCCCACAUUGUAACCCAAA